UACGUAGGUGGCAAGCGUUGUCCGGAAUUAUUGGGCGUAAAGGGCGUGCAGGCGGCCAGGCAAGUCUGUCUUAAAAGUGCGGGGCUUAACCCCGUGAUGGGAUGGAAACUGUCAGGCUAGAGUGUCGGAGAGGAAAGCGGAAUUCCUAGUGUAGCGGUGAAAUGCGUAGAUAUUAGGAGGAACACCAGUGGCGAAAGCGGCUUUCUGGACGACAACUGACGCUGAGGCGCGAAAGCCAGGGGAGCAAACGGG
rnacentral:rRNA from 1 species